UACGUAGGGGGCAAGCGUUGUCCGGAUUUAUUGGGCGUAAAGAGCGUGUAGGCGGUUCGGUAGGUCCGUUGUGAAAACUCGAGGCUCAACCUCGAGACGCCGAUGGAAACCCCCGAACUAGAGUCCGGAAGAGGAGAGUGGAAUUCCUGGUGUAGCGGUGAAAUGCGCAGAUAUCAGGAGGAACACCGGUGGCGAAGGCGGUUCUCUGGGCCUUACCUGACGCUGAGGAGCGAAAGCGUGGGGAGCAAACAGG
rnacentral:rRNA from 1 species